rnacentral:rRNA from 1 species
UGGUGGAGUGAUUUGUCUGGUUAAUUCCGAUAACGAACGAGACUCCAACCUACUAACUAGUGGAGCGAUCGUCCCUGUCGCUCGCACUUCUUAGAGGGAUAAGCGGUGUUCAGCCGCAUGAGAAGGAGCAAUAACA